AUGACCACAACAGACGACCCUCGCCUUCUAUUUGCCCUACUUAUAUGGAAAAACAAGCAAACAAACAUAAAACAACAGCAACAAGUCGAAGCAGGAAUUCAGGUUACAAGACAAAGACUUCAAUUUUUGCUCAAGGCCCAGCUCCAUGCCAGGACCACACCAGCAAGGGGACUGGGGAAAGUGUUCCCAGGCUCCAGUACAGAUGUCUUGCAUUUCCUGUGCUGCUUUAUGUGCUGCUUCCUUAGAGCUCAUCAUACUGGAAAGGGGUCCAAGGAGGAAUGCAGCACGCAAUCACCAUUAGAGCCUUCAUUGGGAUCCUUGCCCAAAGCUUGUGGAAGAGCGGGCACCAUGAGCAUCAAGUCCAAUCCACUGCCUGGCUGAGAACGAGAAGAGUCACUGCUCCCCAGGUUGGGCAUGCAAGCUUUGUGUUUCACAGGGUCACACAGCACAACUUUUUCCCCCAUGCUCCACUAUGAUGCAAUGGCAUUAAAUUUAAAGCAAGCAUAAUUUUGUGUAUGUAUUCUCCUUGUUUUUCUGGUGGAGGGAAAGCCGACUAUUUGAUUUCUUACAAGAUAAAAUGACCUUUUUCCCUCCCACUAAUGUACAAAGAACCUGGGAAGAGGUGGCCAUUUUAACCAGAUGGAAACUUCUCCUGAAUUCACUCCUGGAGAGAGAAAUAAAAGAAAAAAAUAUUUCAACUGAGAAAUAAAAAUCUGUUCUGGUUAUCUAUUGAUGCUUAACAAAUCAUCACAAAACCUAGUGACAUAAAGUAAUAGCACUCAUUCUGUUAUAUCUCACAAUUUCUGAGUCAUAUCUCAGAGUUCUGAGGAAUUUGAGAAAAGAGGGACCAGGCAGUCCUAGCAUAGUGUCUCCCAUGCAGUUGCGGUCAGGAUCUGGAAAAGAAAGGUCUGUAGGAAUAUCAGUUGAAGUUUGCUGGGCCUCUGUCCCUCUCUCUCUUCACAUAGUUUCAGGGCCUUUACAUAUGGUCUCUCCACCAGGACUACUUUGGGCCUUCUCAGAGAAUGGUGGCCUCUGGAAACUACUUACAUGGUGACCAGAGGUUUCAAGAGUGAGUAUUCUCGUGAGUCCAAUUAUUGUGCUCCUUGUAAUAUGCUGGUAUUUAAAGAUUCACAAAGGCUUUUUAGAUUAUUUUUGAAGGCUUAGUUUACUUCCUUAUUCUUUUACGCAUCAAUUCUAAGGAUCAGAUAGGAUAUUGUAUCAUAUUACUUCUAAAUUCCCGUUUACAUCUAUUUGUUUAGAAUUCUACGGGGUGUUGUUGCGAGAUGUCUUAUCCUUAAGCAUGAGACUGUAAUGGUAACUUUAUUGAUGCUCACUGAAGUUUCAGGCACUGUUCUAUCUUAGGCUGAAUAAUUUAAUUAUUACAAGUAUGCUAGGAGUCCGUGCUAUUGUCAUUUCCCUUUUACAGAUGAGAAAAUGGGGGCACAGUAAGGUAACUGGCUUGCUAAAGGUCACAUAGUUCUUAAAUUUGAACCCAGGCGGUCUAACUCAAGAGAUCACUCUUUUAAGCAUUGUAUUAGUCUGCCUCCUCCAAAGAAGCCACAGUCUAGUGGCUUUACACUUAAGUCAAAGAGAAUUUUUUGCAUGCUUUUUUUCUCCAUAUGCACAAGGGAUAAGACCCCUUAGACAAGCAUCUGGCAAUCUGACUAAAGAAACAAGCAGCAUAUCUCUAUGGGGACCACAGGCAAAGGCUGUAGAAGUUCAUAAGAGGAGAGAGCUGGGAGAAAGUUGGGUGUCAGGAAAGGGGAACUGGUGGAGUGAGAAACAUAACUGGGCUCUUAAAAACAGAUAAGAGUCAGAGCACCAGAAAGACUGAGCUGACAUUUUAGGUGAUGGGAGGAGCUUGCCUUACCACAUGGCCAAUGAUAUUGUCAAUUCCAGCACUGAAAGAAAGGAAUUCCUCUCCUAACACUAACUGUACUGGCUUUCCUUGGGUCCUGGUGAUUAGAUAGAUUGUCACCUUGAGGAGGAGAAGAGGACAGGUUGUCUCAUACAUUUAUAAGGCUGCCACUGAUUUUCUGUCCUUAUCUACACCUUCCAAAGACAGAUGACCCUCUUUGCCAAACUUAGAGUCCAGCACUGGUUUGGAAAUCAGGAUAGGGCCAGAAAUUAUGAAAAUGGAGACAGGAAGCAAGAGGAUCCUCAAUUGCCCUCAGAUCCACAGAAGAGUCCUGGGGGCUUAACGCCGCUGGUGCACAGUAAGCCCCAGGAGGCAGGGAGCACACCUACCUUGCUCAUCCAGGUGUCCCCAAGGUGGCAUGUGGCCAUGCUCAGUAAGUACUUGUUAAAUAAGCAAAUGAAUAAAUGAAUUGCCAAAUAACCAAACAAAUGAAUUUGUAUAGAGCACACUUAAAAACUAACAAAAGGUUUCUGGAGCAUUUAGGGUGGAAAUGGGAUGCCCCCAUCCCAUUUCUGAGGUGAGAAAGAGUCCUGUGUCCAGAGAUAGGGCUUUUUCCUGGCUGGAAAAAAUCCACCCUUCCUUCUAGAGGAAUUGAGUAAAUUGUGUUGGGAUAUAUAGAAGAUCAAUCAAUAUAAAAUUUACUACACUUAAUUCUAAAACUUCCUUUUCCAGGCACUGGGAUCUCAGGGGCAAAUCUCUUUUGUGGUAAACUGACCUCUAGAAUCAUCACAAUCAUAUAGCUAUAGACACUUAAAUUUGAAGCGUUCUUAAAGCUUAUGAAGAUCAACUAGAUAUAAUGUCGUCUUUGCCAGCAGGUGGCUACACUUGAAUGACUCAAUACACAAAAGCUCAUUACCCUUUGUAAUAAAUUGCUAUCUCCUCAUAAAGUACUUACCUGAUGGAAAGAUUUCAGAAAAAGGAAACCAAGUGAUCUCCUGCUAAGAAGUGUUAAAGCAAACUUUAGCGCCCUGAAAAUAACUAUGUAAAGUGCAUUUGAAUCCUGGAUAGGAAACUAGUUUACCCCAUGUAAAUACAGAAGAAUAGCCGCUAGGGUGUUGAUGGUGGUACUUGCUAAAGUGAUAGAAUAGUAAUGAUUCCAUUUGCUUAUUUUGACAGCUUCACUGACUGGGAAACCUGCUAUUCUCCACACACCUCCGUAUUCCCAUGAUGAACUUAUGUCUCUGUCUGUUUUUCUUAUCGUACCUGGAAUAAUGUUGCCCAUGCUAUGCCUCCAGGCAGACAAAACCUUCCUUGCCCUUUCUACCAUCCCAUCCAAGGCCCAUGAAGCCUUUCUAGAUGCUCCCUGUCUGGAUUUAUCAGCCACCUGCAUUGUUCCUGUGGUUCUUUGUCAAGCCACUUUCUGCAUCUAUUUUACUCUCCCUAAGGUUAUACUAUGUUGCUUAUGGAACUGUGAUGUGGCAGAGAGAAAAUGUGUUUGAAUCAGGACUCCCAGAUUUAAAGUCCAAACUGUACCCUCUCUUAACUGUUGAAUUUUAGGGAAGUUACAGAGUCCUUAUAGGCUCCAUGUAUUUCAGACACUUGUAAUAAUACCAAUUCAGAUGAGUUUAUGGAGUUGCUGUAAGAAAAUAUGUAUGAAAAAUGCUUUCAGACAGUAAUGCUGACAUGUGUGCAUGUAUGAGACAGUCACUGCAAAAUGUGCAACAAGAGCUGAAGUUUUAUUCAUAGACUUAUUGGAUGACCUUGAAGUUUUAUUCACAGACUUAUUGGAUGACUUUGAACAAGCCUUCCCCUCUCUGGGCCUUGGUUUCUGAACCUAGACCAAGGGUUCCUAGCCUGGGAUCCUCAGAAGGGCUUCGGGAGAGUCACAAAACCCCUGAGAUUGCAUCCACCGUUAUGCCUGCUGGUGCCUUUUUCUAGGUUCAGCAGUCACCUCUUUCAUCCAAUUCUCAAAGAGAUCUGAAAUUCAAGCGAAGUUAGGAAACUUGAGCCAGAUGCUCAUGAGGUCCCCCACCCCAUCCAGGUCUGACAGUUUAUGUCUCUGGAAACUUUAGUCCAACAUGUUCUUGCAACAGGCACAGAAACACAUUUUGCAAGACCAGAAAGGGACUAUCACAGAUGAGGAAACUGAAUCCUGGAAGAGUGAGGUCAGGUGCCAGAUGUUAGGAGUUGGCAGAGACUCUGCAAACCUACCAGAGCUCCAGUGAGAGGGGUAAUCACAGAGUCACGGGUCAUUUCCUCCUUAGAUUUUAAAAUCAGGGUGGGGUGGUCAAUAGAAAACCCAGAAAAAAAGUCCUGUUUUGUAAAUAGAAAUCAUUUAAUUUAAAAAAAAACUGGAUUUGGUUUAUAAUUUUGUAAUGUCCUGCCUACAGGCACUGUGCUAGAAGCCAAGGGCUCAGGGACACAAAGGCUGUAAAGGGCCCCCAUGCUUCACUAAUAAGGGAGACACCCUUGCUGUCAACUGACUAUAAAAUCAGUGGGAAUUUAGAG
ensembl:lncRNA